CCUACGGGUGGCAGCAGGGAGGAAGAUUGGUCAAUGGACGAGAGUCUGAACCAGCCAAGGAGCGUGAAGGAUGACUGCCCUAUGGGUUGUAAACUUCUUUUAUAGGGGAAUAAAAUGUGCCACGUGUGGGAUUUUGUAUGUACCAUAUGAAUAAGGAUCGGCUAACUCCGUGCCAGCAGCCGCGGUAAUACGGAGGAUCCGAGCGUUAUCCGGAUUUAUUGGGGUUAAAGGGAGCGUAGGUGGCUUGUUAAGUCAGUUGUGAAAGUUUGCGGCUCCACCGUCAAAUUGCCGUUGAAACUGGCAGUCUUGAGUACAUUCGAGGUGGGCGGCAUUCGUUGUGUCGCGGU
rnacentral:rRNA from 1 species